GACGUAGGUGGCGAGCGUUGUCCGGAAUCACUGGGCAUAAAGAGCACGUAGGCGGCUGGGUAAGUCGGAUGUGAAAUACCUCGGCUCAACCGAGGAACUGCGUCCGAUACUGCCCGGCUUGAGGUCCGGAGGGGAGAGUGGAAUUCCCGGUGGAGCGGUGAAAUGCGUAGAGAUCGGGAAGAACGCCGGCGGCGAAAGCGACUCUCUGGUCGGAAUCUGACGCUGAGGUGCGAAAGCUAGGGGAGCAAACGGG
rnacentral:rRNA from 1 species